AGUGAACGCUGGCGGCGUGCUUAACACAUGCAAGUCGAACGAUGAAGCCGGAGCUUGCUCUGGUGAAUUAGUGGCGAACGGGUGAGUAACACGUGAGUAACCUGCCCUUGACUCUGGGAUAACUGCUAGAAAUGGUAGCUAAUACCGGAUACGACCCUCGGCGGCAUCGCCAGGGGGUGGAAAGAAUUUCGGUCAAGGAUGGACUCGCGGCCUAUCAGCUAGUUGGUGAGGUAACGGCUCACCAAGGCGACGACGGGUAGCCGGCCUGAGAGGGUGACCGGCCACACUGGGACUGAGACACGGCCCAGACUCCUACGGGAGGCAGCAGUGGGGAAUAUUGCACAAUGGGCGCAAGCCUGAUGCAGCAACGCCGCGUGAGGGAUGACGGCCUCGGUUGUAACUCUUUACGUAGGAAGAAGCGAAGUAGACGGUACCGUG
rnacentral:rRNA from 1 species